UUGAUCGGCUGGUAUCGCGACAUCCAGAAUCGCAGAUGACCAGAGAUCUGAAUCCCCGACAGCAGUGUUCGAGCAUCGCUCGCAUUCAGAUUGGAGGGGGGAUUCACUCCAUCGGACCCAUCCAAGGUUGCGUGGGUCAUAACUUGUUCAUAUUCGCCGUCCCCAGAACGGCCGACGGGUAGCAACCUUGGAACGCCAUUAAAGGCGAUUUCACAAUGAGCGAACCCAGAUGGGUUCACAGCUCCUAUGUACGUAUCCAAGUCGAGGUCCGGGUCUCGACUAGCAUUCAGGUCCACGGGAGGUGGCGGUGUUCGUUC
rnacentral:lncRNA from 1 species